AUUGAUUAUACUAUUAUAAAAAAAUAUAUUAUUACCAAUUGUAAUUUUUAUUUUAUUUUUUUUCGUAUCCUUAUUAUGAUCGAUGCUGAUAAUUAUUGUUGGCUUUUUUUGUUUUGUUGUACUUGCAGCAAUAUCAUGUAAAAGCGCAAAUGAAACCUUUCGAGGAGAAUGCAAAUUUUCAAUAGCCUCAAACUUACGAAAUCGAACAGAUCCAAUAAUAUCCCAACCGUUUUCGUAUUUUAUUUUUCUUUUUCCUUAGAAUUUCCAAUGAAUCAUAUAAGAAUGACAUAUUAUAUUACGUACAACAUAAAUUAUAUCCGUUAACUUUUUGUGCAAUUUCGUUCACGGACUAUGAAAAGAGGGAAGGAAAUUGUUAAACUGUGUAUUGUUCGUAGGUAUACGAUUGCGUAAUGCUAUGCUUGUUCACGGAAGGAAACGGUUAUGAUUAAGACUAUACAUUAGAAUUGUAAGUACAUAAGUGACAGAGACAGACAAUUUUGCGAAACUAAAAUAAUCCCGAACUUUUUUGAAAAUAGUUCUCACUUUUACGUAAUACAAAGGAAGAUUUACAGAUGCCAUGGCCUUAAAGAAACGUACACCUAAAAAAGCUCUUAUAGUAUACAUACAGCGGUAUCUAACAGAUAUAUGCCCUUAGCAAAUAUUACGUAUAAUCGAUACCGAUAUCUUACAACGGAAAGUUGUGCCGGGGUGAAUUUUUCAUGCAGCUCAAAUAUCAUUCAGAGAAGUUUCGGUGAAAACACGCAGUUUUAUUAACAGAUGUGUAUCGUUUAUUGCAUUAAACCUCCAUCGGAUCCAAUGUAUCUCUUCUUUUUUCGUUUCCCUAUGUCAGUUAUAUCUUAUUUCGAUCAAACGCUGCGAUCCUCUGUAAAAAAAAACAGAAUAUAUAAUGGAAUAAGAAUAUUUUUGAAAUUUGAUCUCUGUAAAAAGAACAAAGUAAGAAAUACAAUAGAAGUGCACGAUAAUUUAAACGAUAUUGUUAAUAUCAUUAUCGCUGUUAUUCGGUACAUUGAAAUCGAUGAAGGUUUAAGAAGCGGCAAACAGGAGAUUAAGUUGCGAUUUCGCGGAUGAAACGCAUAAGCGCAGCCUUAUAUUGUAUUUUCAUAUAGUACAACACGCCGAUACGUGGAAAUGAUAAUUGAUAAGUUAAUCGUUUUUGUAUUCUCGGGUCUACUUGUUAUCGAUCGCGGUCGAAAUGGAUCGCCGCGUUCUCGAUGCAUAGAGCGUUCAGUGCUUCCGAACCGAACGAACUGUAUAUUCCUUGAUUCGAUGAUCACGUUCGCUGUAUAUCGAUACAUGGUAGGGCUGGUAUUAUAAUAAUAGUGUCUUAUAGACGAGAGCGUCUUACGACUUGCACGAUUCGUAUUGAAACGACGAUGAGGCUAAAUCUAGGCAACAGAAAGUAAUGCGCGAGAAAGAAGAGAAACGGCAAACGCCCAGAGUUGCAUCGCAUGCAAGUUAGGGAAGAAAGACAAACUGUCAGGAUAGGAAGAAGAAAGGAUUUUAUAAGCGAAGAAGAAGAGAACAUCUAUUUUUCACGAGACGUCGAUCGUGAAAAUGUACAAUAAGUUCAAUUUGUAAAUACGUCACGCGUAAUUAUCUUACUUAAGUAUAUAUAAUAUCGUUGGAAAAAAGCGGCGAAUAACAAUUAUUAUUAUUAUUAUUAUUAUUAUCAUUAUCAUUAUUAUUAUUAUUAUCAUUAUUAUUAUUAUUAUUAUAUCGAUAUACAAGCCGUAAGACGAGGAACUUUGCUCCUUAAAGAUACUUUUCUAAAUAGACAAGAGAGAGGAAGAGACGCGCGUUCAAACGAUUCGUUGUUUCUUAGCUAAGUAAGCUCGAUUUCCACGCUUUAAUGUUGCAUAAGAGAAAUACCGCGAAGAAAAAGUAAAUGUGGCAACAAUACUGGUAGAAGGGAUAAGAUGUUAAAUGAGUAUUCAAUGAGACUUUUUUGUAUGAACAAAUAAACCAAACUAAUUUUUUUCACAUAAUUCGCGUUUACUAGUUGUAAGAUCGUCAAAUGUAAUACGUUGCCGCGACACACAAAAUGAUCAAAGGAUAUAGCAAAAGGAGGAAAGAAGAGGUAAUUUAAGUCGAUGUAUCUAGAAACGACUCUAUGCUGAAGAUAUUAAUCGAAAUUAAAUUAAAGCGACACGAUUCCGCGCGUAGUGCCAAUGCAUUGGAGCGGAGGAAGCAAUACGACGUUAUGCGUAUUGUAAAAGUAUUAAACGUGUGUGGAUUUGUCUUGACUAUUUUCCGUUUCACACGGUAAAAGAUUAAAGAAAGAAAGUAAGGACCGGUGCUAAACGAUGUAUUUGUACGUUCAAUGUACGUUCAUACAUGCACAGGAAUGCGGAAAUUCAUAAGAGAAACGUCUGCACAGGAAUUGAAAGAAUGAAUUUUGUUUUGGGAUACAUAAAGAAGGCGAAACCGACGGACUGUAUAGCAUGUAGACGUAAUAAAUUUAGUGAUCGAAAUGUCGACUCGAAUUCUAGAAGCGAGGAGAGAGGAAGACAGCGUACGCACGAUCAUUUCCUUUUCAAAUAUAAAAGCUCGCACCCGCACUCGAUCUUUUCCUGCGUUCUAUAAUGUUCGCGCGGCGACAACAACUGUAUUAUUCAACUGUAUAAUAGAUCCCUUAGCCCGUAAGCAGAUAUAAAAGAUAUUAAUUCGAUAAUUGAAUUCGAUCGACUCUCUUGUCCAAGGCGAUGCAGCCAAGGUAUUUUUACCAAAUCAAAAACGUCUGUGCGUUACGACGCUAAAUCUAUUCUUGAUCUAUUCUUUCUUCCAAUCAUUGUUUUCAAUUUCUCAUUGAAAGAAACGGAAGAAAUGGAAACUUAAACAAUAGUUUGAAAUAAUAAGUGUUAAAGAUAAGAUUUAUAAAGAUUAAAAAAACUUUGUAGUAAAAAGUGUCUGAUUAAAAAAGAAAAUCGCAAAGUAAAUUGACUGUAUCGCCUUGCGCACGCCUGUAUCAUAAUGAAACGCACGAAUUAUCAUGUGUCAUAUAAAUAUAUAUAUAUAUAUAUAAAUAUAAAAAUUAUAUAUAUAUAAAUACAAAUAUAUAUAAAUAACUAACAAUAAUGAUAAUAAUUAAGUACCUUACACGUAUAAGCAGUAUCCAAGAAAUCCGAACUAGUUGCACCAAGUGCCAUAGUCCAUAGGUCACAGUACGUUUAAUAUAGCGAGAGAGAGACUACUCGUAGUCGUUGCUAGGGGCAAGAGGAAAGAAAAAGCGUAAUAAAAAAGGGAAAAAUCGAAAAAAACACACGCAUAUAGAGUGAAUAUAAAAGAAAAAGGGAAAGGCAGAUCGAACACGUGGCGUUUGACGACUGGCUAAGUCCUGUUCUUAUUGCUUAUUGUUAAGGUGAACGAGCGUGAAGUGGCAGCUAGCAAUCAGCUAAAAACACGCGAGAGAGAAAAAAAGGAGAGUUAUGUAGUCCGUGUGACCCAAGAUUUCCGAUGGGCCGGUUUCGCCCAUCUUCUGGAGAACGUUUUAGAACAUAAAGCAGACACCAAUAUGACAAUAUACUAAUGAAAUUAAUUUCCGGUCCUGUUGCUCGGUUACUAUUGUCCAUUGCCUCCACCUCCUACCCCUUCGAAGGAAACUUGGAAAAAACGAAAAAAAAAAAAAUGAAAGAAAAAAGGAAACACCGAACAUCCAUUUACUGUACAAUUUCGCCGUUUAUUUUUCGACACGUUAGUACAUGCGAUUAGACGUGGAUCCCGGCUCGCAAAAUCCGUGCAUUCCCCGACGAAAGAGUUGAAGGAUGCGAGAGAGAGAGAGAGAGAGAGAGAGAAGGGCGAACGAGUGCGAGAGAGGGAGCGAAAGGAAAAGAAUAGACGCAAUUGUAAAACACGUUACGACCGUGAAUGAAUCGUGAGACGAAAUGCGUGUGACCGUUCUUUUUUUUUUCUUUUUGCGAGAACAUUAUCAAUUAUCUUAAAGGAAGAAAAAGAAAAUGACAAAAAAAUACUGUAGUAACGUCGCAAUUGUAUGUUGUAAACAUUACUAUUUCAAAUAUAAUGUCAUUAUUAACA
rnacentral:lncRNA from 1 species